rnacentral:rRNA from 1 species
GGGAUUACCUCAGUAACGGCGAGUGAAGCGGUAACAGCUCAAAUUUGAAAUCUGGCCCUUUCAGGGUCCGAGUUGUAAUUUGUAGAAGAUGCUUUGGGUGUGGCUCCGGUCUAAGUUCCUUGGAACAGGACGUCAUAGAGGGUGAGAAUCCCGUAUGUGAUCGGUUGCUUUCGCCCGUGUAAAGCUCUUUCGACGAGUCGAGUUGUUUGGGAAUGCAGCUCAAAAUGGGUGGUAUAUUUCAUCUAAAGCUAAAUAUUGGCCAGAGACCGAUAGCGCACAAGUAGAGUGAUCGAAAGAUGAAAAGCACUUUGGAAAGAGAGUUAAACAGUACGUGAAAUUGUUGAAAGGGAAGCGCUUGCAACCAGACUCGCACACCGUCAAUCAUCUAGGGUUCUCCCUGGUGCACUUGGCGGCGUUCGGGCCAGCAUCAGUUUCGGUGGUGGGAUAAAGGCCUUGGGAAUGUAGCUUCUUUCGGGGAGUGUUAUAGCCCUCGGUGCAAUGCCGCCUACUGGGACUGAGGACCGCGCUUCGGCUAGGAUGCUGGCGUAAUGGUUGUAAGCGACCCGUCUUGAAACACGGACCAAGGAGUCUAACAUCUAUGCGAGUGUUUGGGUGUUAAACCCAUACGCGUAAUUAACGUGAACGGAGGUGAGAACCCUUUAGGGUGCAUCAUCNACCGAUCCUGAUGUCUUCGGAUGGAUUUGANUAAAAGCAUAUCUGUUGGGACCCGAACGAUGGUGAACUAUGCCUAAAUAGGGUGAAGCC